rnacentral:piRNA from 1 species
CACUAAACUGGUUGCAUCUCUCCGUAG